rnacentral:rRNA from 1 species
UACGUAGGGUGCAAGCGUUAUCCGGAAUCACUGGGUUUAAAGGGUGCGUAGGUGGGAUAUUAAGUGAGUGGUGAAAGCUUCCGGCUUAACCGGGAAAUUGCCAUUCAUACUGGUAUCCUUGAGUACAGUUGAGGCGGGCGGAAUGUGUCAUGUAGCGGUGAAAUGCUUAGAUAUGACACAGAACACCGAUUGCGAAGGCAGCUCGCUAACCUGUAACUGACACUGAGGCACGAAAGCGUGGGGAUCAAACAGG